CCUGGUUUUAUCAAAAACAUCGCCUCCUGCAACACAACUAUGUAUAGGAGGUCCAGCCUGCCCAGUGACUACAAGUUCAACGGCCGCGGUAUUUUGACCGUGCAAAGGUAGCGCAAUCACUUGUCUUUUAAAUAGAGACCUGUAUGAAUGGCUAAACGAGGGCUUAACUGUCUCCCCUUUCCAGUCAGUGAAAUUGAUCUGCCCGUGCAGAAGCGGACAUAAAAAUACAAGACGAGAAGACCCUUUGGAGCUUAAGGUACAAAACUCAACCACGUCGAGCGACUCAAUAAAAAGCAAAAACUUUGUGGAAUAUGAGAUUUUACCUUCGGUUGGGGCGACCACGGAGGAAAACAAAGCCUCCAAGUGGAUUGGGACAAACCUCCUAAAACCAAGAGAGACAUCUCUAAGCCACAGAACAUCUGACCAAACAUGAUCCGGCUGCCCGAAGCCGAUCAACGAACCAAGUUACCCUAGGGAUAACAGCGCAAUCCUCUCCCAGAGUCCAUAUCGACGAGAGGGUUUACGACCUCGAUGUUGGAUCAGGACAUCCUAAUGGUGCAGCCGCUAUUAAGGGUUCGUUUGUUCAACGAGAAAGUCCUACGUG
rnacentral:rRNA from 1 species